rnacentral:lncRNA from 1 species
CUCUGAGCUGACUCAGCUGCCUGCAGUGUCUGUGGCUUUGGGACGUACGGCCAGGAUCAUCUGCCAGGGAGAUAGCAUAGGUGACUCUGAUACAAACUCGUACCAGCAGAAGCCAGGUCAGGUCCCUGUGCUGGUAAUUUAUGGUGACAGCAACCAGCCCUCAGUGAUUCCUGAGCAAUUUUCUGACUGCAUAUCAGAGGACAUGGCCACCUUGAUUAUUAAUGGGGCA